UACGUAGGGUGCAAGCGUUAAUCGGAAUUACUGGGCGUAAAGCGUGCGCAGGCGGCUUUGCAAGCCAGAUGUGAAAUCCCCGGGCUUAACCUGGGAACUGCAUUUGUGACUGCAUGGCUCGAGUGCGGCAGAGGGGGAUGGAAUUCCGCGUGUAGCAGUGAAAUGCGUAGAUAUGCGGAGGAACACCGAUGGCGAAGGCAAUCCCCUGGGCCUGCACUGACGCUCAUGCACGAAAGCGUGGGGAGCAAACAGG
rnacentral:rRNA from 1 species